CAUUGUUCCAGUGAGCAGAUAAAUACGCUCCCCCCCCUACUAAACUCUGGGAAAUGCACGGGGCAGAGGCAGAAAUGACUGGAAUCAGCGGGUCCAGCAUGGUUGAAGACGAAGAUUUUAUUAAAUUAUUAGGACUUAUUGAUAAUUGUCCUAAAUCAUGUAUUAUAUAUAAACGUAGAAAGGGUACUAUUAAAAGUAUUAAUAUUAUAAAUCAUUUUAAUAUUCAGGAGGAUUUUCAACGUGUUGGGUAUAUUGCAAUAAUAAGAAAAACACCAGAAGGUGAUACUUGGUUCAGAACAUCACAAUGUUUUCUUGCAUCUGCAACUAAAAAAUCUAUUUUGACAACGUACCACUCAGUUGCGAGUGACGUCAGUUUCAUAUAUGCCUUCUUUCAUUCAAAACAUUAUAUCUUAAUUUACAAAAUUCCUCCAUCACCCAUUAUCUCUAAUCGUGAAAUUGAUUAUGCAUUAUUUAAGUUACCAAAAUAUAGUUUAAUCCCAUGGAAAACGGGAUUUGUAGAUAAAAUUGUCGGGAAACCGGAAAUGGACAAGUUAGUCCAUAUAAUUACAAAUAGGACAAUAGAAAAAACAGCUCAUUCAAUUGAGGCAAAUGUCAUUGAAACCCCCAUAGACAUGAAAAAUUAUGUAAAUGAAUCAGAAUUUUUAAUUGACAAAUCUGGAAUUAAAGGUGAUAGUGGUGCCCCAGUUUUAGAUAAAGACUGGGGAUUGCGCGGAAUGUACCGUGGGGGUAUUCAUGGAGGACAACGUCAUUUUGGAUUGUGUGCUAACAUUAUUUACAUUGUCCAAGAUAUUAAAAUAAAACAGCCGUUCAGUGAAAAAAACUUUAAGAACUUCCAAAAAGCAUUUUUAGCUCUUUCGAACUGCACCAAAUUUCGAAAAAAAAUAUAGAAAUAAGAUAUAUUAUUUUUAUAUACAGAUAUAUUAUAAGAUAAUAGAAUAUGAUUACAUAAGAUAAUAAUGUUAUAUAAGGGCUGGUCUGUGUGCUGGUUUUUAAUCCAACCUUAAUUUGCUCUGGUACUUGAGCACAGUAACAUCUUCAAUUACACUCCACCAGUCUGCGAGAGUAGUUGGUGCUUAUACUAAAUGUCACCUCAAAUAAAUACGAAAUUGAAAAAAACAAAACAAAAAAAAAACCUGCAAAAGAUCAGCCGUUGUUGUACACCCUGGCACAGUCACCUCUGCCUCUGGGAUUUCUCCAGAAGGACAACUUGCCCCCACGAGUAAUUUCAGCACAGCCUGGAUCUACUUCCAUGGAGCCAAUGCGUUUGCCUGUGAGGACUGAACUUGUGGCAGUGACAUCACAUUUGUGAGAAGCAAUAAGGAGAAACUGCAAAACAAAGUGUGGAAUAUCCUGAAAAAGACCAAGCGCAUGACCUCACAGACCAAGCGGAUGACCUCACAGACCAAGCGCAUGACCUCACAGACCAAGUGCAUGACCUCACAGACCAGGAUGACAACAUCGGGACCAGGCUGAGAACACGGAAGCAGGCUUAAAUGGGGAUAUGUUGUCCUUCUGCACCCCCCCCCCCCCCAAUAAAAACUACAACAAAAAAUAAAA